AUGGACUCGUUCUUCUUCCUUGUGGGAUCUCAGGCAAGAUGGCCAUACCCUCGAAAUCAUUUCUAUCUUUGCUUGCUAGUUGCUCACUCUAUUGCUAUGCCUACGCCGCAAUACCUACCACAUGCUCUAUCAUGCCUCCCAUAUUGCCAUGUCAAGCCUCUAACCCACCUUGUCCUAGCAAACCGUUGUUUGGCUAUGUUACCGGUUUGCUCAGCCCCACUUAUAGCGUUGCUAGUUGCAGGUGAAGAUGGAGUUUGUUCCUUGUUGGAACAUGGAUAUUUGUUGGGAUAUCACAAUAUCUCUUAUUUACUUAGUGCAUCUAUAUACUUGGUAAAAGGUGGAAGGCUCGGCCUUAUGCCUGGUGUUUUGUUCCACUCUUGUCGCCCUAGUUUCCGUCAUACCGGCGUUAUGUUCCUUGAUUUUGCGUUCCUUACACGGUUGGGGGAAUGGGACCCCCUUGACAGUUUGCUUUGA
rnacentral:rRNA from 1 species